rnacentral:lncRNA from 1 species
CCCUUCCCCACCCACCGUCAGCCAUCCCGGAGGGCUUCCAACUCAAUGAGCCACCCAUCUCGGAGGUCUUCCAACUCAGUGAGGUUGGAGAAGCGCUCCGAGGUCAGCCAACCCCACCACCAACCCGCCCCACUCAGACCCAUCCGUCUCAGAGCCCUCCCAGCUCCGAUGUUGUACUUCUUGGAGGGGUUGGCAGCCGCGUGUUUGACGGCCC